GUAAUCUCCAUGGAUCAGUCUAAAAGGACAAAGCAAAGACAGAGAGACCGGACUGCAAACCAGACAGAACACAGGAAGGCUAUGGUGAGGUUUGGAACAAAAUCACUUAUGUGAGUAGGAGCUGAAAGAUCACUUGGGAACCAAGUACUACCAUGGAAAAGAUGGAACUGAGUAGAGAAGUGGCCUGACUUGUUUACAGCUCAUAUGAACAUUUGGUGUAGAUCACCACUUCAUGCCAGCAUAGCACUGUUGGAUUUUGGGAUUGAGCAGUUCGACACUUUCCCCUCUGCUUGACUGCAAAUGCAGUUGCUGUCUCUCCAUGCAUUCACUCCAAAUCAAGAAAACAAGAGCCAGACAUUGCAGUGGGUCUCCAAAGAACAAGCAGGCUUUUGUAUGAUCCUCAUGCAUUCUUUGUUUCUGGAUAUUUUUGGAAGCACAAGUUUUCAACUGAAAAGGCAAGGAAGGCACAGCAGUUAGCUGAGGACAUUUAGUCAUAAAUAUAACCACAUUAUGUAACAUUCCUCCUAACUGGAAGAAGCCAUAAGGGCAGUUAUCUCUUACAUAUGUGCAUCUCACAAUACUUCUGGUGUGGCAGCUCAAGCACAAGAAGUCAAGAGAGAAACAAUUCUACCUUACAGAUCAUCAAGAAUUACUUCUUUGAUUUUUAAUCCUUCCUUACACUUUUGUAACAGCAGAAGUAAAGCCAGAAACCUCUCAAGCAAAGUGGGAAAGAACAAUGCCUUUGAGUAUGUUUUUCUCCUAGUUGGCAGACAUGUAUGAACCAAUCUCCUCCCACCACUAAGGAAAGGCCAUGGAUCAAAUCCUUCAAGGAAACAUCAGAUCUAGGUGUGUUCCUGACAGGUCCCUGCUGCCAGCACCUAGAAUACAGUCAAAGCCAGUACUCAAAUCUGGCCCCACUCAGGAAAGCAACUGCCAAGGUACUUUGGGGCUUCUAAAUAUUUCAAGACCAAAUAUGUCAAUAUGAAAAGUCACUCAACUUCUGCUGGCUCCGUUUUGACUGCUCAAGCUGCUGUUUUCAUCCCUUUUCACUAGGAAUAAAGGCUUCCAGCAAAGUGGUCA
rnacentral:lncRNA from 1 species